rnacentral:lncRNA from 1 species
UAGAAAAAGGCAUCAGUCACCGAUCGGAGAUUUUCUGUUCAGUCGCUUUAUCUGCCAUCGGAAAGGCAUCGUCGGCGAGCAUCACCUAUCCAUCAUAUUGUGAUUCUUGAUUGCAGAGACGUUAUUACUCUAUUGUCUAUUCACUAAUUCUUUGCAGGACCCAUUCUUCAAGCUUUCCAGAUAAAUUAGAAGUAUUUGACCGGAAACAAAUCAAGAUCCGAUAGAUUGAGAAAAUCCUAGACGAUCAAGACCCGAUUCGACUGAGAAAAUCAGUAAGAACAGUACUGUAGGAUUUUCGAUACACUUUGUGGUUAUUUUACCAUGCGACGGAAUCUGAUUCUCACCGUCCUCGUCGUCUAUCACUUCUCCUAUUCUCUUUGUACUCUUCCUUCAGUAUUUUCACCAAUCCGGCACGUUUACCGGCAAGGAAGCUGCCGCCCUUACUCCAUUACUGUUGAAUUUUUUCUGUGAUCUCAAAAGAUAUAAAACAGAUUUUUUGCUUUAAGGGUAAUUUGUAGAAGAUAUUGGUUUUCAUUUCUGGGUUUUUUGCUACCCUAUUCUCUUGGUUCCGUGGGUGUUUGCAUAUUUUGCAGGUAUCAUUUUUGGGAGGUGCAGCGCACAAGCAGUAAAGUAGAAGCUAUACGCCAGUUUCCGCAGCAUCGGGAGUAUAUCAAUUCGAGAGUUCUAGGUUCUAUUCAUGGGAAUUGGUACCUCUCGCCUCUUGUUUAUUUGUCAUCUGUGUUAAUUACUUUAUUAGCGUAGUAUUUCCUACUAGUCUAGUCAGUUUAGUGGGCUUGUAGUUACUAUUUGCUCCCUUUAUUGUUUUGUGUGGUGUUUUUUCUCCGUUUCAUUUUUAGACCUUCAUAGGUAUAGAGACUAUGGUUUGUAAUGGCAGAGUAGGGUCAUGUCCUCGGGGAGGUCGGGUGGUAGGGAGGGGGUAGGGCAAGGGUCGGGGGUGGGACGGGGCCCAAAUGGGGUAAAGAGAACAAGGUAGCCUGUAGGUUGAGAGUUGGAUUUUGGAAUAUAGGGACGUUGACGGGAAAGUCUAUAGAGCUGGCGAAGAUUCUCCAAAAGAGGAGGGUCAAUAUAGCGUGUGUGCAGGAGACUUGGUGGGUAGGAACGAAGGUGAGGAAUGUAGACGGGUAUAAAUUGUAGUUCUCCGGAGUCGUGAAGGGCAAGAACGGAGUGGGCAUUUCGGUGGACAGGGAGCUUAGAGAGCCGAUGGUAGAGGUUAGACGGGUGAAUAACAGAUUGAUAGUGAUUAAGGUAGUAGUUGGAGGGAGCACUCUGAAUGUCAUUAGUGCUUACGCGCCACAAACGGGCUUGGACGAGAAGGUAAAAAGGUGCUUUUGGGAGGCGCUGGAUGAGGUGGUGCGGGGUAUUCCGCCGACGGAGAAGCUAUUCAUAUGAGGGGAUUUCAAUGGCCAUAUUGGAUUGUCUGUUGGUGCCUAUGGUGAGGUGCACGGCGGCUUCGGCUUUGGUGAUAGGAACAAGGGUGGUACCUCACUGUUGGAUUUCGCUAGAGUUUUUGAGUUGGUGAUCGUGAACUAUAUGUUUCCAAAGAGGGAGGAAUAUUUGGUUACUUUCCGGAGUAUGGUGGCUAAGACUCAAAUUGACUAUCUCCUCCUCAGGAGGUGUAAUAGGGGGGUUGUGCGAGGAUUGAAAGGUGAUCCCGAGUGAGAACCUCGAAACUCAACAUAGGCUCCUAGUGAUAGAUGUUAGUAUUUUGAUGAAGAGGUUUGUACGGGGUCCGUCGAGGAUCAGGUGGGGAGCUUUGUCUAAGGAUAAUGCGCAAGAGUUCGAAGGGCGGCUGACAAAUAUAGGUGCCAGGAAGAGUAGUGGGGACGCUAGUGCUAUGUGGACGGCGACGGCGGACUGUAUAAGGGAGGCAGCAAGAGAGGUGUUGGGAGUUUCGAAAGUCUAUUAUGGGGGAUAUCGAGGCGACUGGUGGUGGAAUGACAUUGUCCAAGUUAAAGUGGAAGCCAAGAAAGUUGCGUACAUUAAAUUAGUAGAGAGCAUCGACGAGGAUCAGAGGAGUACGAACAGAGAAAAAUAUAAGGAGGCUAGGAAGGAGGCGAAAGUAGCGGUCACAGAGGCUAAGACUGCUGCUUUUGGUCGGCUUUAUGAGGAACUUGGGGGGAAAGGUGGGGAUAAGAAGUUUUUUUCAUUGGCCAAAGCAAGAGAGAAGAAGGCUCGCGAUCUGGAUCAAGUGAGGUGCAUCAAAGAUGAGGACGGUCGAGUAUUGAUGGAAGAGGCCCAGAUUAGGCAAAAAUGGCAGUCGUACUUUCAUAAACUUAUAAAUGAAGCAGGGGAUAGAAACAUCAUAUUAGGGCAAUUGGGGCACUUCGAGAGUCACCGAGACUUUAGGUAUUGUAGGCGCAUUAAGGUUGAGGAGGUCGUGGGUGCAAUGGGUAAGAUGAGUCGGGGCAAAGUGACCUAACCUAACAAGAUUCCAGUAGAGUUUUGGAGAUAUGCAGGUAGGGCAAGCUUGAAGUGGCUGACUGGGUUGUUUAAUGUUACCUUCAGGACAAAGAUGAUGCAUGAUGUGUGGCGGUGGAGUACAAUGGUUCCGGUGUACAAGAAUAAAUGGGAUAUCUAGAAUUGUAACAACUAUAGGGGCAUCAAGUUACUAAGUCAUACCAUGAAAGUCUGGGAGAGGGUGGUGGAAGGGAGGAUAAGGAGGGCGGUGUCUAUAUCAGAAAACCAGUUCGGGUUCAUGCCGGGCCAUUCUACUACGAAAGUUAUCCACCUUAUCAGGAGGUUGGUGGAACUAUACAGGGAUAGGAAGAGGGAUUUGCAUAUGGUGUUUAUUGAUCUAGAGAAGGCAUAUGACAAGGUCCCUAGGGACGUCCUUUGGAGGUGUCUGGAGGUGAAAGGUGUGCUGGUGGCUUGCAUUAGGGCGAUAAAGGAUAUGUAUGAUGGAGCUAUGACUCGGGUUAGGACUGUGGGAGGUGACUCAGAUCCUUUUUCGGUGGUUAUAAGAUUACAACAAGGAUCUGCGCUCAACCCGUUCUUAUUUGCUCUAGCGAUGGACGCACUGAUACAUCAUAUCCAAGGAAAGCUGCCAUGGUGUAUGUUGUUCGCUAAUGUUAUAGUUCUGAUUGAUAAGACACGAGGCGGUGUUAAUGGGAGACUGGAGGUAUAGAGGAAGUCUCUAGAGUCUAAAGGUUUCAAGUUGAGUAGGACUAAGACAGAAUAUAUGGAAUGAAAGUUCAGCGAUGUGACGGGGGAAGCAGAUGUAGAAGUCAAGCUUGACUCACAGGUCAUCCUCAAGAAAGAAAGUUUUAAGUACUUAGGGUCAAUUAUCCAGGAAGAUGGGGAGAUUGACGGGGAUGUUACGCAUCGUAAUGAAGUGGGGUGGAUGAAAUGGAGGUUUGCGUCUGGAGUCCUGUGUGACAAGAAUGUGCCACCGAAACUUAAAGGUAAGUUCUAUAAAGCGGUGGUUAGAUCGGCCAUGUUGUAUGGAGCUGAGUGUUGGUCAGUCAAGAAUUCACAUAUCCAGAAGAUGAAAGUAGCAGAAAUAAGGAUGUUGAGAUGGAUGUGUGGGUACACUAGGCUGGAUAAGAUUCGGAAUGAAGAUACUCGGGAGAGAGUGGGCGUGGCUUCUGUGGACGACAAGAUGCGGGAAGCGCGACUUAGAUGGUUCAGACACGUGCGGAGGAGAAGCAUAGAUGCACCGGUUAGGAGGUGUGAGCAGUUGACUUUGACAGGUACGAAAAGAGGCAGAGGGCGGCCUAAGAAGUAUUGGGGCGAGGUAAUUAGGCAGGACAUGGCACGGCUUCAUAUUUUCGAGGACAUGGCUCUUGAUAGGAACAUGUGGAGGUCGAGCAUUAGGGUGGUAGGCUAGGGGGUAGUCGAGAGUUCUUCCCUCUUUGUACCGGGUAGUCUGAUAGAGUUUCGUGUAGGUUUGUUAGCGGCCUUUGUUGUAUUCACAUUGUUGUUUGCAUAGUUUUGUGUUAUUGUCCUUUCACUUAUUUGUUGUGGUUAUUUUCUUUCUGGUAUCUUUUGUUGUUACAUGUCUUUUCUCUUUUUUAUUUCUGAUAUUAUUGUCUCUCCUGUUGAGUCGAGAGUUUCCUAGAAACAGCCUCUCUGCUCUUUUCGGGGUAAGGGUAAGGUUUGCGUACACUCUACUCUCCCCAGACCCCACUAGUGGAAUUUUACUGGGUAUGUUGUUGUUGUCGUAAUUUUUGUAAAUUAUAAUUGGACAGAGUAUAUACCUAUGGGCUCCAGGCUCGAUAUUUGAGGCUAGUAGCACCAUGCUAUCCUGAAUUCUUAUAUGUGUCAAUUUUAAUAUUUUUCAAAAUUUUGNNNNNNNNNNNNNNNNNNNNNNNNNCUAAUAUCUUAGUCCGAAUAAAAAUAAAGAUACUAGUUUAAUCGCAAACAACACAAAAAAACAUGAAAACACAUUCAAAAUAACUAAUAUGCAUUAUUAUACGAGUUUCGACAUAAACUAAAUCGGAAUACCUCGAUUUAUGUUUUUCGAAAAGUCGAUGAAUUGAAAUUUUGAGCCCGAAAUGAGGAAACCACAACAAUAUAAGGAUUGGGUAGGAUGUGUGACCUACAAUCUUAUUUUUUUGUGUGACGGGUGGGGUCCGCUACAAUUUUUUUAAGAUGAAAUUUUGGGAGAGGGGACCGUUCUGUUUUGUUUAGAAAAAUGGGGUCGUCUGGUUCGAUGAUCGUGGGGAAGAAGAAGGGGCCCUAUUUAUCUAUGUAUAGUGCUUUUUAUUACUGCGCUAUACCCAUAUAGCGCGGUUAUAUAGAGCCCUAUGCUUAACUGUCUUAUCAGCACUGCAUAGCACGGUUCUUUAAUGCGUUAUACAUAUAUAGCGCUCUUUAAACAGUCAAAAUUCUGUUAAAAUAUAGCGCUCUUUAAAUAGUCACUUUUUUUUUAUUUAUUUAUGUCACACUUGUAUAAAAAUCCCACAAAUCCGUUAUGGACUCGCACUGGGGCAACACAUGGCUCAUUUCUCCCAUGUCUCGUUUUUUUUUUUCUUUCCGAAAAUGGAAAAUAAAGUGAACAUUAUCAGGGUACUAUAUGUACUUAAUUUUGUUAAAGACUUUUUUCUGUCUUCCACUGUUGGAUCCGCCACAUCUAAUAUAGUGUGAAAAGUAUAGUCCUCUUGAAACAAUUCCUGGCGCAUAGUGGCGGAAAUGUAAAGUACUUUUUUCUUUUCUUGUUUUAUAUGUCUACACUUUAUACGGAUCACUAGAAUACCCGUCAUCCAAAUUCCUUGUAGUUUUGUAAGUGUAAAUAGUUUUUUAGGCUCACGCAAAAAAUAUUUAUAGGAAAACCUUUUUAUCAUUUACUAUUUAAAAUAAGACAAGUUACCUGUUAUAUUAUAUAAAGAUAAUUUGAGAGUGUAAAAAUUUCUGACGAUGUAUAUAACUUAGAGCUAUCUUUAAAAGCAAAUUUCUGUACUGUACGCGUUGGCCAAAGUCUAUCCUUAGAUAUGUCGCACGAUAGGCCAAUUCUGUAAGAGUAGCUAAUUAGCUAUUGCAGAAAAGUGAUCCUAAUAGACGGGUUUAGAAAGCAGACAAAGUACUUUUUGCUUCUCCUGUAUAUAAUAUCCUAUAAUUAUGGAAUCUCACUUUAACUUCAUUUUCUUUAUUCUUUUCUCUUCUACUGUCACUUCAAAUACUUAAAAUUCCCAAUAAAGGUUGGCAAAAUCUCUUGAACUCUUGUUGAAAUUGAAAUUUGGGAAAGUAUUAAUUGAACUAUCGUGAAAUAUAGUUAAAAAGAGUUGAGUUGGAUAAGAGAAGGUACUUCUCGUGCUUAUGAUGGAUUUGGGAUAUUAUAAUUAUAGAUCAAAGUAAAUCACUUUUCUUAACUCUACGCAAAGCUAGAUAAUAGGAUAAAACAAAAGCUAUAUUUAAGUCUUUUGAGAGAUUACCGGUCUAAUUAAAUGACUCUUAAUCCGUCUUAGCCUAGGAAUGAUGUGGCAGCAUGUCAAAACCCCCGUAACUGCCGGAAUAAAGGGCCAUCACUUCCUUCCACUAUUACUAUAUGUUACUUAAUGCAGACUUUUUCUCCACCCUCUCUCGAAACCGAUGACACGACUUUCUUCCCACUGAUAGAGAAUUACUUUUCUUUCCAUUCAAAAUCAGAGUAAGAGUACAGAUUUUCAACCGGUAGUACCUUCCCUCUCUGUUGCUGCAUCUUCUUAUCCUCCUUUUUUCCUUUUCCCUUCUCCCUUUUUCAUUAGAGUUCCAUCUCUGUCUUUUGAUGUUCAGAUUAUUUUUGCAGAUUUGAUUCAUUAUGUUUUUUGGUCUAAUGUGCCUUGCUCUGUAAAAUUUUGCAACUUUGUUGUUCAAUUUUGUCUCACUGAUUUGCUCAAUCAAAUCACUUAUUUCCUCUUUUCAGGUUUCAGGAAUCGCUCUCUACAUCAAAUCUCGAUUCUCUCGGUCAACAUUCUGAGCGCUAAUCUACCCAUUUGGGUUUUCUGAUUACAACUGCUUCUUGAAUGUGUUUAACUACUUCGGUGAAACACUUCACUUCUUCUCUUUUAUCAUGUUAAUUAAUUCCCUAUUCCCUCUUAUAUUUUGAUUAUUUAUACCUUUGUGACAGAGAUGUGGCCAAGGGCAAAACAAGGGCCUAUAACAGACACUCUUGGAACUUCUAUUGGUUCAUCAUUUAUACUUUACGUAUUAUUUUCAUCUGCUUUUUGUUUUAAUUAUUUUAUGAAUCAUUUAGGGAAAAUGCUUUAUUGUUGUUGGUGACGCCUUUCAACUGUUAGAGAGACUUAUUUUGCCUAUCAUGUA